rnacentral:rRNA from 1 species
GAUGAACGCUGGCGGCGUGCCUAAUACAUGCAAGUCGAGCGAACGGACGAGAAGCUUGCUUCUCUGAUGAUAGCGGCGGACGGGUGAGUAAAACGUGGAUAACCUACCUAUAAGACUGGGAUAACUUCGGGAAACCGGAGCUAAUACCGGAUAAUAUUUUGAACCGCAUGGUUCAAAAGUGAAAGACGGUCUUGCUGUCACUUAUAGAUGGAUCCGCGCUGCAUUAGCUAGUUGGUAAGGUAACGGCUUACCAAGGCAACGAUGCAUAGCCGACCUGAGAGGGUGAUCGGCCACACUGGAACUGAGACACGGUCCAGACUCCUACGGGAGGCAGCAGUAGGGAAUCUUCCGCAAUGGGCGAAAGCCUGACGGAGCAACGCCGCGUGAGUGAUGAAGGUCUUCGGAUCGUAAAACUCUGUUAUUAGGGAAGAACAUAUGUGUAAGUAACUGUGCACAUCUUGACGGUACCUAAUCAGAAAGCCACGGCUAACUACGUG